rnacentral:lncRNA from 7 species
AAAACAUUCCUUGCCCUGGCAUGCACUCUGCGCAGUGUGCCUCCAGCUGGUAGCUGGGAAGAGCUGCAGGAUGGAGGCGCCGCUCAGCAGAGCACCACCACCCGCAGAAGCAGCAGCAGCAGCAGCAGCUGCACGCUCCACACUGCUCGGCGUCUCGCCGGCCGAGCGGUAGGGGGAGCUCAUCUGCCCGCUGUGUGUAGUCAGGUGAGCCUGAAGCGGUAAAGUCGGCGAGCGGGACCCCAGAUAGCGGUGAGCGUGGGGAGGUGUUUGUUGGCCCCUUUCUAGGCGGCCAGGUGGGCCCUUCCUGUUCUUCACCGGGAAGGCGUUACAGGUCACGUGCCGGGCAAGAAAACACAGCCGCUGCAAAAACAAAUGCAGCUGGUAGAACAGUCUUGUGCCCACCUGGUCCACGGGUCACUUAGUGAUGGCCUUAAGCAAUCCUUCCGCUUGCCAUAAGCGCACGCCGGGAGUCACCUGAGCUUUCGGCACAAAGGCUGGGGCAGAUGUAACCACCACUUUCUGCUGCUGAGGAGCUCCUCCAACCAAUGCUGUCUUUCCUGGGUGUGCCUGCUGAAUUUCUGCAUUCACGCAGUUCAGCAAAAGCUUGUCUGGAAAGAACAGACUGCCCCGUUGACGCCCACGCUUUUAGGAGUACGUACACGUAUCUAAUGUUGUUAUUAUCUUGAUACACGUGUGUCUGUUUGCUAGCGUUGUCGUGGUUUAGCCCCGCAGACUGAUAAACAGCACUGUCUCACCGGCCCCAGGUCGGGAGCGGGGACAAAGGCGGGAAGGCAACGGUGCGAGAACUCAGGGGGCUGAGAGCAAGACACCGUACUAGGGAAAGCAAAAACCAGGCCCGCACAACCAGGAAAACGGGGGACACAUUCCCUGCAUGCCAUCGGCAGGCCGAUAUUCAGCCACAUCCAGGAACAGCGCGCUCAGUGCACGUAACCAUCUCUUGGGAAGGCAAGAGCAUCCAUCCCACCAUGACCCAUUCCUCCUGCUUGACACACGCUUUCAUUGCCGAGCGUGACAUCCCGGCCCGUUUGGGCCGGCUGUGUGGCUCCGUCUCCUGGCUGUGGCUGCUCCCAGCUUCUGCUCUGUCCCCUGCCUCCUCGCUGGAUGAACAGCACAAGAAGCAGAAAAGUCCUUGGCUCUGUGCAAGCACUGCUCUGCAGCAGCCAAAAGCACGCGUGUGUUAGCACCUCUGUUUUCACGAAAAGAAUCCAAUAACCAGCACCCGUGAGACUCUGCCAGGCCACGGCACUCAAUCCCAGGCCAAAUCACAACAACUAAAGUACUGCAGUCAGAGAGCAGUGCAGUCUCGGGAGCACCUACUUGUAAGGAAAUGAAAUAGAUUUACUAGCAUG